AGUGAAGAAGGGAAUGAGGGACGGAAAGAGAGAGACAGCGAAGAGAGGAGAAAGCUCUUAGCAUAUGAAACUGCAGCUAGGACUAAAACCAGAGGAAGGCACACAGAAUCUUGACUGCUCUUCAGAAAUACAUGGCACUCCGUUAAAAUGAAGAUUUUUGCUGCUCACUCCAGAAAUAUUGAAUCAAAACGUGGAGCAGGAGACAGGCAAGGCCAGUGAAGGAGUGUGGCUCCGAUAGGAUUGACAACUACUACCUUAGAUGAUGAAUCAAGCUCAGAAGGGAUCCCUCUGGAUUUCCCUGCGCCAUGUAAGAAGUGCCUGCUUUCCCUUUGCCUUCUGCUAUGAUUGUUUCCUGAGGCCUCCCCAGUCAUGUUACCUGUACAGCCUGCAGAACUGUGAAGAAACCGAGGCAAUGAACAAAGUAAUAUACCCAAGAUCACAUUGCCAGUGAAUGGGAGAGCUGACGUUUCAAUCUACACAGAACCUGUGCUCUUAGCUAUCUAACCGCUUUACUUGGAAGUGAUGUGAGAUU
rnacentral:lncRNA from 1 species